rnacentral:lncRNA from 1 species
CCUCUCUCCAUGCAACAAAAAUGGAAUUGGUUUUAAAUUCUAAUCAAAGUGAUUUAGCCUACUGCAUUAAGUUGCAUGCUCUUCUAUGCACCAGUGCAACACCUUGCAUACUGAUUAGUCCCAUUAUGGAGGUGUAGGCAACUGCAAAGGCAAAAUAUUGGACUCGUGAGUUCCUGAACUCGACUCCACUGCAAAGAAAAAAAGGGAAAGCUGGAAAUCUUGCAUCUCACCAGUGGAUUUAUAUGCACAUAGGGAUUUACAUAUUUGAUCGUUUUAUGUAUUUGCAUCAGCAUAAGCCUGCAGCCAGGUUAACAGAGUGGAAGAUUUGUUGAGUACUACAGAAGUGAUUUAAAACUACCAUCUUCCUUUAGAGUCCUGUCAUCCUCAUUUGUGAUACUCAUAGGAAAUUCUUCUGGGGCUUUACUUCAAUUUAUUUUUAUUUUACAUAUUUAUUUAUUUUUACAAAGCUUUCAUACAGUGCUUUCUUAGAAGAAUGGCUUCAGCCCUAACCAUUGCAUGCACAGCCACCCCAUCCCAGCUUUAUUACCUUGUUGAUGCCCCCACACCAAACUGUGCCCUCUGUAUCACAUCCUCCUUCCCUGCAGCCCAGCCCUAUGGACAGCACAAAUAUGCAAUGGAUAUCUGCAGGAGCAAGCCACUGGAAGCUUAACCUACACUGCGGGAAUAAGCCUCCUCCCUUAGAGGUAUAGGAUAUGUUGCUAUCUCUGCCAGCAUAGCAUAGACCUGGACUUACACAAUGCAAGGAAAACAGCAAGAACAACACCCAAAGCUGUUGAAGUAAGUAAUCAUCACUUCCCCAGGUCCAGGCAAAUGGCUUUUGUUUCACUGAAUUUCUCAACACUGACUUGCCCCAUGAAGUCAGUGGGGCAGCCCAACACAAUUCAAGUACUCACAGGUCCAGAAUUUUCAGUUGUGCAGCAUCAGAGGCUGCAAACCAAACCAGGUGCUGUCAUUGCAUAAGUGUGCCUUAAGUUCACACCUUCCACAAGGACAUGGGUUGCAUAAUGGCAUUAUAUGACCAACAAAAUUACCCUAAAAAGUGCAUGAACAGAGAAUUAUAUGUUCCAUACAAAAGUCUACUCACUUAAUCGGUGUACCCUAUGCACAAUUGUAAAAAAAAAAACAAAAAACCCAUGAAAUAGAUGUUUUCAAGUUUAAAGUAUUUGGAUAAUUAUCAGAUUGCACAGGUGUCUGUGAUGUUAAAAUAAAUUUAACUUAACGUAAUACUUCA